AUUGAACGCUGGCGGCAUGCUCUACACAUGCAAGUCGAACGGUAACAGGUUAAGCUGACGAGUGGCGAACGGGUGAGUAAUGCAUCGGAACGUGCCCGAUCGUGGGGGAUAACACUUCGAAAGAAGUGCUAAUACCGCAUACGAUCUGAGGAUGAAAGCGGGGGACCGUAAGGCCUCGCGCGAUCGGAGCGGCCGAUGUCAGAUUAGGUAGUUGGUGGGGUAAAGGCUCACCAAGCCGACGAUCUGUAGCUGGUCUGAGAGGACGACCAGCCACACUGGGACUGAGACACGGCCCAGACUCCUACGGGAGGCAGCAGUGGGGAAUUUUGGACAAUGGGCGCAAGCCUGAUCCAGCAAUGCCGCGUGCAGGAAGAAGGCCUUCGGGUUGUAAACUGCUUUUGUACGGAGCGAAAAGGCUCUCUCUAAUACAGGGGGCUCAUGACGGUACCGUAAGAAUAAGCACCGGCUAACUACGUGCCAGCAGCCGCGGUAA
rnacentral:rRNA from 1 species